rnacentral:rRNA from 1 species
UACAGCGGGUGCAAGCGUUGUUCGGAAUUAUUGGGCGUAAAGCGCGUGUAGGCGGCUUGGCAAGUCGGGUGUGAAAUCCCUCAGCUCAACUGAGGAAGUGCGCCCGAAACUGCUUAGCUUGAGUGCCGGAGAGGAUGGCGGAAUUCCCCAAGUAGAGGUGAAAUUCGUAGAUAUGGGGAGGAACACCGGUGGCGAAGGCGGCCAGCUGGACGGUAACUGACGCUGAGACGCGAAAGCGUGGGUAGCAAACAGG